ACCAUCAUGGCUACUGUCGCCGGCGCAAAACGCUCAUGUGAUGGCCUGCAUCGCAAUGUUUUUCUGCUUGACGGCUCUUGUUGUUUUGUGCCGUUGCGAGUGGCGUUCGUUCAACCGCGGCCUGUGCAUAUUGUGCGUGCGUGCUCUUCCCAGCCAAGUCGUGAAACGUGUGUGCUUUCGUGUUCUCUGUAGCCAAUGGUGUGCUGCUGGCGCAGGCAGCUACCGAGUGCCUUGAAAUGUGCGAGCGCGCUUCGGUUCGAGCGAAACAAAGUCAGCGAUUGAUUUCAGCGCAGCAGUGAGUCAGCAGUGAUUUCAGCGCUGUGGCAACGGGAGUUCUGUGCAUGCGUACUUGUGCUCCUUGUAUACGAGAUCUCAUUUCGUCUGAAUACUUCCCAUCAUAAAGCGUUCCCGUGAUGGUACUAUAAACCGACCUGCUUGCCGACAUGAUGCAAAGGAAUGGUUACGAGUGGCUACGUAGAGGUCACUGUCCAAAGGAACAUGCAGAACACUGUUUUUUCUAUACAUUGGCUACCCCUCUUUACUGAAGGACAACAUUUUUUGUACUUUUGGAAACGCUUCUCAGUGCUUGUGCACCUUUGGGUUAUUCUUGUAUAACAGAAGCACGAAAAGGACAAGGACAAGAAAGUACACAACACAAGCACUUACUCACAACUGGAAGCUUCCAGCUUAUGAGGUUCACUGCAUUAUGUCUACUGCCGCUGUUGCAGUGUGAAAUGCAGUCUUCUGGCGUGCACUCAUCAGAAUGUUCAUUUCAUUGAGUGGACUAUCCAGCAGUCCUUUUGGCUACAGAGACGGGACAUGUUCUUUUGAUAUAUGAUGCGUUGACAGAAGAGUCAGUUUAUAGUGCCAUUUUUUCAAAUAUUUUGACAUUUUGCUGUCAGCUUUUACUAGUAGAAAGAACAAAUUUCUCUAGAAUGUGAUAAUUUAAUUUGACACAUCUCGUAAUAUGUUCUGUCAGUGCUUGUUUGUUGAUGCUUUGCUGUAUUUUGUAAUCAUUUUGUUGCCGCAACUUUGUUGAACUGAACACUAAAGAGCCGUUUUGAAGUCAUUUGUUAUUGUGGAAUUCACAGUAGCAGUAAAUAGGAUGACAAAGAUACUGGGGAAAAAAAAAAGCGGAACGGGCAUAACAUUUAUGACUGCAUUGGUGGCUUAACUUUCCUACAGCGUAUAUGUGUAGGGGUAUUAUCUGUGCAUUGCAUAAGCAAGUGAAUUGUAUACGCAGAUGAAUUCUCUACUUCACCAUUAGUAAUGCAAACUUGCAGAAGUAAACUGACCAUUGACUGAUGUAUUGAAAUCGCUUCUAGGCAGCGAUUUCAAUAGAUAAUUUCUAUAUUGAAUUGCGGUUCGAAUAAAUCGCUUAUAUAGAAGCAGUUUUAAUAGAAGCAAACAUCCAAUAAUGCCGGCACAGCGACAAUGCAAUUAGAGCGAUAGCUUGUGACAAAGUAUGAAAACAAGCAACAGCAGCAGCCAGUAACAGUUAACUGAUGCUGUUGGUUGUAACUUACCCACUAGGCAGCACUUGAAUAAAUGUUCUUAUUAUUGUAAUUCAUAAUGGUGUUGGCAAGGUUCACUGCUUAUCACUUUGAUAAUGAGUCCAGGAUGUAGUGGCACACAAAUUGGACUGAGCCGGAGUCAGUAGCUUCCAAAAGCGACCUUUUUCACAGUUGUAUCAUUUUCUGGUGGAAACAGUGCUGUGGGUAACUCUCACUAUGUAAAACUGUACUGCAGAGACAAGGGGCGGACCAAGCUGCAUCAAGGCUCAUUCGAGUUCAGCGGAGCUGGCGACAGAUGGAAGUCAAGGCAUCCCUGCCAGGGAACAAGCCGCAGCUGGCGGAAGGGGAAGACUUUCGAAGAGGGAAAUUUUGCACUGUCCCUUCUGCCCGUACAUUUCAUACUACAUGGGCCCUCUCAAUGUACACCUACGCAAGCACAGCGGUGAAAAGCCCUUCAAGUGCAGCCUCUGCAAUGCGGCGUUUCCUUAUUCGGCGACCUACAAGCGUCACAUGUCCCUCCACACUGGUGAAAAGCCGUUCAAGUGUGACCUGUGUCCCUUUGUGACGGCACACAGCGAGUCCUUGGUCUACCACCGGACCACCCACGCGAGUCGCGAAGCUUUAACGUGCAAGAUUUGCUCUUCCGCCUGUGCAAAUAAGGGCUCGUUGGUGGCACACAUGCGUGCUCAUGCGAGGGACAAAGAACGCGCUACUGCUCAACCACCUAAUCCGACCCAGCCACCCAGUUACGAACAGCAGGAUUAAUCGAAAAAGAGUGAGCCCUCUUGCAGCACAUUGAGUCAGGCUCUUUUGCCACUUUGUACGUUAGAGCUGCAUUACGUACAUUGUUUGUUAGUGCAUUAACUUGCUUCUUUUUUAUGCUCUCGUUGUACGGCUUUCGAAUUAAAUCUGGUAAUCUUGCAAAGCCAUUGUUCAACAGUGCUGCCAGAAUUAUUUCACGUACAGCCUCUUGAUUGACAUCAAAUACAAACUUUAGUACUAGCUACGGAGCACUUUUAAAAAUGUAGCAGUACAAAACAUUAUAAUUUGAACUACUUUUUCCAACCCAUGAGCAUGCAAAAUAGACAAUGGCCAAGCGCAGUAGUGGGGGAGGGGGUUGCCUUGCAGUUGUUCAUACACACGUUUUUUAAUUUAUGGAGAUUACAUAAAAAGUAUGUGAGCAGGAGGGGCUGCGUCUAUCUGUUGAUCCAUUCAGUGAUUCAAAGGAAAUCAGAUAGGCGCUCUUUUCUGCUACGCUCUUGGGAUCUUAGCUCUACGCCUCAGCUUACAGGAGGCCGUACUGAUGCCGUUUUGGCCCCCAUUUCGUUGUGCAGCCAGCGCAGUUAAAGCCGUGCUUUAUCUCAGUGUGCUUAUCUCAGGAAGCACAGGGGAAGCCGUGAAUCGUACAACAAAAUGGUGCACGUUUGCGUCACAUGAACACACCCUAUACGGAGUAAUCCAGCAGACGACUCUUGAAUGGGAGCAGGAAGCCCUUUUCCCAUGUGCCCAUUCUUGUUACUUUCACAGGCACGCUCCCUGACAAAGGCACUCCCUGACCACCUUGAUCGAAACUUUAUGUACCUUUUCUGGAAAACUGCCCAACCAGUGCUGAAAUUUUCUAACGUUAUACUUCACUCCCUUCCAAAUAGUCUAGAUCUAAAACUUUGAUGAACUGUGUGAGUAAUAAUUAAAAAAAAGAUUAUUAAUUCGACAGUCUCUUUUACGGCAUGUGACAUGUGAGGACAAUAUUUUUUUUUCUUGUGAAAUAAAUGUAGGAACCAGUUUUUAGAACUAGGGGUUAAUGCCACUACCAUGUGAAAUUAGCACUCCAGAUUUCAUGGUCAUACUGCUUUUCGUUUCUGAGAAGAGGUACAUUUAAUUUUACACCCCAGAAUAAAAUUUGGUGUUUAAAUACAAAAUAGUAACAAAAGCUACAUGGUCGAAAUCGCACAAAGUGAAGGCCGAAAGCUCUCUUAUUGAACAUGCAAUAUUUCACAAUAAAAUAUGGAAAAGUUCCUGAGAUAUAAAGCUGAAACAAAGGUGACACAUUUAUCCUACCAUACCCCCUUAAGAAGGCAUAUUUCAUUUUUAGAUGCGAAGCAUCUUAUAGCGGAGUUCAAACCGGUGGUGGUGGUGGUGUGCGGCGUGACCACCCUUACCGUGCAUGCGCAUACCCUCUCCACACACCUCUCCACUCCCCCUCUCCCCUGCCCCUCUCCAAUCUUCCUCUGAAACGCAGGCUAGACAUGCCGAAAUUCUCUCCUGCGCAAGGCCGCGAUGAGCACCAGCGCAUGCGCGUCCCCUCCCCCUCUCUCUCAUCUCCUACGCUGCCGCCCUUUCGCGCGCUUGUCGACCGCGUUCCCCGCUCGCCCUGUGAGAAUUAGCAGCCGGGCUUGAGGGAAGACAAGACGCGUGUAGCGUUCCUCUUCGCAUUCUACGACGCAAGGUCGGUAGCAUGCCCAACGAACGCCAACGGAACGCGAUCGUGCAAGUGCUCAGGCUUCGCAUCGCCUCAUGGUCCCCUUUAGCGGGAAAUGGUGUAAUUUUUGUGUCCCGGCACCGUGCGAUGUCAUUAGCGCUUCUAUUCACGUCCUUAAUCUGGAGCUUAUAGUGCCUUUGCGAUCCAGAUAUUCAGUUUUGUUAAAUUGUAUUUUUAAUUUAUACCCAGAUGAGGACACUUUUUCUCCUUCAUUCCCCAAUCUGAUUUGUUCACGACAGCGUAUGACAUGGGAAAGCAUCAUUUCAGCCCCAUCAUACUUGAACUUUUGCGCAAAUGUAAACCGGGACAUGUCAUAGGUUACAAUAUUGCUGAUGUAGUUUAAAAAGCAACAGAAUUCUUGUUUCACUAAUGGUUGGAUUGUUUAGCUAUCUAAGCAGGUUAGCUUACGCACAUAUAUGCACACGGGCAAAGACAACACGCUUGCUUAGUGCAGUAACAUUAUAUACCGGCUCUCCCAGCUAACUUAGACCAAGAUUUAGAAAGAAACCGUGAGCUCUAGGGUAGUUCUACCUGCUGUAUAUUAGUGGUAGUGGACGUAUACAUACACCCUGUAUUUUUUAAUGACUAAGUGCUAAUGAAUUAACUUUAAUUAGCCAACUUUUUUGCUCUUGCUAGAAUUGGGGUAAAAUAUUAACUUUAUGUUGUACCACACCUCAAAUAACCCCAGAAUCAAGCAUAUAUUUUUUUGCUGAAAUCUGCCUAGUUUUUCUUUCCGAGAAAAAACAAGCGCGAAACGUGCAAAUACGAAAUAGGUGCACGCUUGCGCGCCACUAUUCGAACGCUUCCAAGCUUUCUUUAGUUGACACAUGGCUGCGUUCAUUCAUCACUGCAUUGUACAGGGCUUCACGCUCGAUGAUGGACACGUUAGCAGCGUGUUUUGACGCGCGGCCAUCAAACAGCGUGAAGCCCGGUACAAUGAACGAACACAGCCGUGUAUCAAUCAAAGAACUUAGAAGCGCUUGCGUAGCGGCGCAUGAGUGCGCGUCUAUUUCAUAUUUGCUGUGUUUCGCGCGCUUUUGCUUUUUCUCGGAAAAAACAAACAGGCAGAUUUCAGCAAAAAAUAAAUAAAUAAAUAGAUGCUUGAUUUUGGGGUUAUUUGAUGCGAGGUACAACAUCAGGUUAAUAUUUUGCUGAUUCGAGCAAGAAUAAGACAGUUGCCUAAUUAACGUUAACUAAUUAAUUAGCGCUUAGUCAUGAAAAAAAGACAGGUUAUAUGUACACACGACUACCACUAAUAUGCAACAGGUAGAACUUUCCUAGAGCGCAUGGUUUUUAAAAAAAUCUUGGUCCAAGUUAGCUGGGACAGCCGGUAUAUAUAUUGGUCCAAGCAAACGCGUUGCCUUUGCCUGUGGUGGGGGCCUCCAAUAUUCAAGAAACUGUUGCCUGCAAACUGUUGCCUGCAACGCUCCGAGCCCUGUUCAACAUCUUAAAAAAAAAAAGAAAAAAAAACACCUAGACUAUUGUACCCUAACUCCGGCACGGUUACCUGUUGUGUCAAACUUCUUCAGAAUCGUAGUGCUUGUCUGACUUCAUAUCGAGUCAUUCCUUUUAUUACACUGUUUUUGAAGUCUGCUUGAGACCGUUUCAGCUUAAUUGCUAUGCUCUACUCUGUGCAUACUGCUGCUGUUAGUGGAGGUAACGUUUAUUUGUCAUUUGCAAGGCUAAUAAUACACAGUGUUGUUCAAGUACAACUGAUGCAUUGUGAAUAAUUGUUAUAGUGAUCACAGAAAGCUUCACACUUUGAUAACGCCUUGUUCAAGCUCUUGUUUCCUAUUCAGGAAUAGUGACGUGGGCUUACGUCUAAGUAUCUCUCAGCUUAACUUUCAGCUGGUAUAUUUUAAAAUUUCUGAAAUAGCAAACUUUUAUAAAUUACACAAGAUGUCUGCAACUUUUUUCCUGCCAUUUUGUUGGUGUGAUUACUGCAAGUGCAAUUCUUGUAUGCCCCUGUAUUUUUGCAAGAAGUGAUAAUCUGUGUGUAAAUGCUGUUUUAUUGGGGCCAAAUAAAGCUGUGUAAUUAGCACAGAAUGGGCAUUGUUUGCAGUGAGUCGUCUAACGCAGGGCAGGUAAAUGUUCACUUGCCUGCUGUGCAACAUGCUAUAAUCGGCAUUGUUUUUACCAAAGUAUAUUGUUUGUUGUUUUGAUAGCAUCAAGUGCUGUUCAGCCAAAGGCGAGUCACCCUUAUGGUCGAAAGAAAUACAGUUUGGGGAACAUGAAUGAAUCUGGAGUUGAGACUUGUGAAACUAAAAAAUUGGUGGCAGAAAGCUAGGGAACGCACGGAAUGUUGGAGGCUCCUGCCUCGGAAAUCCAUUGCUUGACUAUACUCUUGAUAAGUUCAAGUCGUAAUGGUGCUAUGACAAGGAAAUUGUUCAGUGGGGAAACAACUUGCUGCCGAUGUUAAUGGCUCUGGAUAUAUUGGUGGAUUUAGGAGCA